rnacentral:lncRNA from 1 species
CACUUCUUAAACUUCUAGAAAAAAUAGUUUUCCUCCCUCUCUUUUUCUCUCUUAGAAACUCUUUCUUUAGUAUGUAAAAGCUCUUGCUUUUUGUGUGAGAAAAAAUGAGUGAAACGAGGUAUCUAUUUAUAAGUAAAUAUCCCAUAAUUUAAAGCAAAUGAAGGGUCAAAUUUCAUUUAAAAGAGAAAACAUGGGUGCCAUUUAAGUUUGAGGUUAAAUACUUCAAUUUAGUGGGGUUUUUAUUGCCAAAAACGUGGGUGGCCCUUUGAGAAAAUAAUUGAUGAAAAUAAAUAUUUAAAUUCUAGAGAAAAACGAGAAUUUUCAUUUCAGGCAGUUUCGGUCGACUGGUUGUAGUCCGGUUGACACUGCACAGUCUUUAGUGUUUCUAUCAUAACUUCUUCUCCAGAUAUCUGAUUGAGGUAAUUCAAAGUGCGUUGGAAAGCUAACUCAAAGAGCUACAACUUUUAUUUAGAUAUCAUUUUCCAAAUCGAAUGUUUCCUAUGUCGAAAAUGGGUCUCAAAUGAGACUAAAAAUCUGAAGUAUACUUUAGUCAUCCAAUAUUCAUGUUUUAGUGCCACUAAAGUGUCUAGAAUUAUUUGGGGUUCUACAUCCCCUACAGCUUAAUUAAAAUUUCGUUCUCGAAAUUUACCUUCUGAUUGGGCGAAUAGUGUUGGAUACUUGUCUUUGGCUUCUUCUUCUUUUUCCCAAGUGGCUUCUUCUACGCCGUGAUAACUCCACUGUAUCUUAUCCAGCUGAAUCCCUUUAUUCCUUAGUUUAUGCACUUUUCGAUUCAAUAUCUUGAUCGGUAGUUCCUCGUACGACAAAUCUUUCUGUACCUCCAAGUUUUGAUAACUCAUUACAUGAUUAGGAUCAUAUACAUACUUCUUUAUCAUUGAUAUAUGGAACACAUUGUGCACUGCCAAUAAUUCAGGUGGCAAAUCUAGUCGGUAAGCCACAUUUUCGACUCUAUCAAGUAUCUCGAAAGGUCCAAUAUACCGGGGACGUAGCUUGCCUUUCUUUCCAAAUCUAAGUACACCUUUCAUCGGUGCUACUUUCAGAAACACUUUAUCUCCAACUUGGAAUUCUAAAUCCUUCCUCCUUAUAUCUGCAUAGGUCUUUUGUCGAUCAUGUGCUGUCUGUAUUCUUGCACGAAUUUUAUCGAUUACCUCGACCGUCCUUUCAACUAUUUCUGGUCCCAAAACUCUCUUCUCUCCGACUUCAUCCCAAUGAACAGGGGAUCUACAUCUUCUACCAUAGAGAGUUUCGUAUGGUGUCAUUCCAAUAGUUGUUUGGAAACUGUUAUUAUAAGCGAACUCUACUAGAGGUAAGUAUGACUCCCAAUUACCUCCUAGAUCCAAAACACAUGUUCUCAGCAUGUCUUCUAAAGUUUGGAUGGUCCUUUCAGACUGACCAUCGGACUGAGGGUGAUAUGCUGUACUAAAGUUCAACUUCGUUCCCAUAGCUCCUCGUAGACUUUUUCAAAAUUUGGACGUGAACCUUGGGUCUCUGUCAGACACAAUGGAUACAGGUACACCGUGUAAUCUCACAAUCUCUUUAAUGUACAACUGUGCCAAUUGGUCUAAACUGAAUGUCAUUUUCACUGGAAGAAAAUGAGCUGACUUCGUUAGUCGAUCCACUACUACCCAUAUAGCAUUAUUUUCUCUUGCUGACUUCGGGAAUCCAACCACAAAGUCCAUCGUGAUAUUUUUUCCAUUUCCAUUCAGGUAUAUCUAGUGGAUUUAACAGUCCAGCUGGUUUUUGGUAUUCUUCCUUAACCUGUUGACAUACCAUGCACUUCUGCACGUACAGCCCUAUACUUCUUUUCAUAUUUCUCCACCAAACUGUAUCUCGAAGAUCUCGAUAUAUUUUCAUACCACUGGGAUGUGCGGUGUACGGGGUGGAAUGAACUUCUUUCAAUAUCUCGUUUAUCAAGGCUUCAUCCUUAGGCACGCAAAUUCUCCCUCUAAAUAUCAGUGCUUGAUCCUUAGCUACUCCAAAGUCCUUUUUCUUAUCGGUACCAACUUCAUUCUUAAUUUUCUGCAAAAAUGAAUCUUUAUUUUGUGCUUUUAUAAUUCGAUCUCUAAGAGUAGGUCAAAUUAUUAAAGCUGCUAGACGAACAGUGACUUGUGUGGUAACCACUUCGAUCUGCAACUUUUCCAAAUCCUUAACUAACUCCACUUGAGAGGUGGGUAGUGACGUCAAUUGUCCCAUGGAUUUCCUACUUAGAGCGUCGGCCACAACAUUAGCCUUACUCGGAUGGUAGUGAAUAGUGCAGUCGUAAU